GGAAGGCUGUACGUCAGGCUGGACCAGGACAACUGGUCUAACAGGCCGUCUAGUGGGGCGUCGAGAGUUGCUUGGCCUCCCCUCAGGUCUGGAAGGCUGUACGUCAGGCUGGACCAGGACAACUGGUCUAACAGGCCGUCUUGUGGGGCGUCGAGGGUUGCUAGGCCUCCCCUCAGGUCUGGAAGGCUGUACGUCAGGCUGGACCAGGACAACUGGUCUAACAGGCCGUCUUGUGGGGCGUCGAGGGUUGCUAGGCCUCCCCUCAGGUCUAGUGAUGCUGACAGGGAUUCUAGGAAUCAUCAUCUCAUGCUGGUGCAGGCUCUCUGGGCUGCUGGGCCGGGAAUCAGGUAGAAGCUUGUAGUUCUUCAG
rnacentral:lncRNA from 1 species